CCUUCUCCUAUCGGGGUCUUCAGUCACUUCCGGAGCAUCAUCCCAGGCUGAGUGAGCUUGCCUGGCCGGCGAGGCACGAGCAGGAUGGCGGCGGCAGCGGCAGCGGCGGCGGCGGCUGCAGGCGCUGGCGAGAAGGAGACGAGUCAGCAGAGCAACCUGGGCGCCUACUCGCCCGUGGACUACAUGAGCAUCACCAGCUUCCCCCGCUUGCCCGAGGAAGAGCCGGGCAGCAGCUCCGGCGCUGCCGAGAGCUGCCUGCGCUCCAGGAAGGAGGAAGAUGCGUUUCUGGGCGAGCAGGACACUGAUCCAGAUUCCUUCUUGAAAUCAGCUCGCCUUCAGCGCCUUCCUUCCUCUUCAUCAGAAAUGGGCAGUCAGGACAUCUCCCCACUUCGAGAGACCAGCAAGGAUCCCUUCUCCGGAGACUGCAGCUGUCGCCAGGAUGGUCUGACUGUGAUCAUCACCGCCUGCCUAACAUUUGCUACAGGAGUUACGGUGGCCUUAAUCAUGCAGAUCUACUUUGGAGACCCGCAGAUAUUCCAUCAGGGUGCUGUAGUCACCGAUGCUGCCCGCUGCACUGCAUUGGGGAUCGAGGUCCUGAACAAACAAGGUUCCUCGGUAGAUGCAGCCAUCACCUCAGCCUUAUGCUCAGGCAUUAUCAACCCCCACACAGCUGGCAUUGGCGGUGGAGGAGUAAUGCUGGUUCAUGACAUCAGGAAGAAUGAGAGCCGAGUGAUUGAUUUCCGAGAGACAGCCCCUUUCAGCAUCCAAGAAGAGGGCCUUAGGAAGGCUUGGGAAACUAAGCCAGGACUCCUGGUUGGUGUUCCAGGCAUGAUCAAAGGACUACAUGAAGCACAUCAAUCUUAUGGGAGACUGCCGUGGAAACAGCUGCUGCGCCUCGCUGCAGAUGUAGCCCAGGAUGGAUUCAAUGUCACACAUGAUUUAGCAAUGGCUAUCCAAGAAGUGAAGCAACAGCAUAACUACUCCAAUAAAUUCAGAGAGACCUUCCUUCCAGAUGGCCAGCCCUUGUUGCCUGGCAGGGAGGUGAGAAGACCAGACUUGGCUGCUCUGUUAGACUUGCUUGGAUCAGGAGGGGUCUCGGCUUUCUACAGUGGAAAUGUGACACAAGAGAUUAUUUCAGAGGUCCGUAACUUUGGUGGUAUCCUGUCUGAAGAAGACUUCAGUAACUACACUGUCUUGGUGGAGAAUCCAGUCCAUACAGUAUAUCAAGGUCAUCUUGUCCUCAGCCCAUCACCUCCACAUGCAGGCCCUGCUCUGAUCACCGCUCUGAACAUCCUUGAGGGCUUCAAUAUCACCAGCCAGGUAGCCAGGGAAAAUAUUCUCCACUGGAUAGCAGAGACAUUAAAAAUAGUGCUGGCAUUAGCCAGCAGCUUGGGGGACCCUUUCUAUGAUGACUCAAUUAAUCACAGUGUGAAAGAAAUGAUGAGUAAAUCCAAUGCAAACUUCCUGCGUCAACUGAUUAAUGACUCCCAGUCUUUCCCUUCUGAUCCUCAUCUUCCACAUUUCCCCAUGGAAAGUGGCCCCUCCGCUAGCCAGGUCCUUGUCAUGGGACCUGAUGACUACAUUGUUGCUGUUGUAAGUUCCUUGAACCGACCAUUUGGAAGUGGAAUAAUGACUUCCUCUGGAAUCCUUCUGAACAGCCAGAUGCUGGAUUUUUCUUGGAUGAAUGAAACAGCGAACCAUUCUUCUCUCAGCUUGAGGAAUUUUAUUCAGCCAGGGAAAAGGCCUUUGUCUUUCUUACUUCCCACUGUUGUUCGGCCAUCGGAAGGCAUGUGUGGGACUUACCUUUGUUUGGGAGCCAAUGGGGGAGACAAAGCACUGAGCAGCAUUACACAGGUUUUAGUAAAUGUUUUAACAUAUAACAAGAACCUGAGCGAGAGUUUGUCUCUAGGCCGGCUUCACCCACAGCUUCAGUCUAACAUCCUGGAAUUUGACAGUAAAUUUCCUGAAGAAGAGAUUGACUACUUUGAAACCAGGGGUCAACGUGUGAAGAAAGUGGAGGUCCUCUCCCUAGUUCAUGGAGCCAGAAGAACCAAUAACUUCAUAAUUGGUGUGAAGGACCCAAGAAGUGGGGAUGCAGCAGGAGCCACAAUAUUAUAGCAACUCCCGGAUGGCUAUUUCAUGUACAACAGAGAGAUCUUUCUAAAUCAAGCACUGGAAACAUUCAAGAAGCAAACCUAUGGUGUAUACAAAAUGUACCAUUUUGAGAGUGGCAGUGGUAGUUUUGCUACCAUUUUAUACUUCUGUUCUGAGGAGCACCCAGAGCACCUUCUGCAGCAGGACUUUACAGAACUGGUGUCUUCUAGGUCUACUCUAUGAACUGCACAUUGUUUUAAUUAGUGUCUUCUUAUCUUCUCAGCAAAUUGUCUUGUCAAGUGUUACAUUAAACAUAUGGAUUGUAAAGAGCAAAUAACAUCUCAACAGAAUGCAUCUCCCCCAUGUACCCUCAGAUACUGGUCAACAUACUUUGCUGCUGGGAACCAAAAAGUAUAAUUCCACCUAAAGUUAAAAUGCAAGGUGUUUUUUUUAAAGAACAACAAAAUGUAAACAAAACACAGACACAAAUGUUAAAAUGUCAUGUUUACUGUAUAGCAUCGUUUUUAUUUGAAAAUAAGUAACACAACAAUGCAUUGUCAUCACAACUGUGUGAUUUUGUUCAGAAAACAAAAAUGUAUUCAUGCAGUUUCCCACCAAUAAGAAAAAGGCUGAAAUAAAAACAGUUUUCUUUUUGUA